rnacentral:rRNA from 1 species
CCAAUAGCGUAUAUUAAAGUUGUUGCAGUUAAAAAGCUCGUAGUUGAAUUUCAGGCCUGGCUGGACGGUCCGCCCUUCGGGUGAGUACUGUCUGUGGUCGGGUCCUACCUUCUGGCGAAGCGUCAUGGCCUUAACCGGCCGUGGCGGGGAACCAGGACUUUUACUGUGAAAAAAUUAGAGUGUUCAAAGCAGGCAAAUCGCUUGGAUACAUUAGCAUGGAAUAAUGGAAUAGGACAAUGGUUCUAUUUGUUGGUUUCUAGGACCGUUGUAAUGAUUAAUAGGGAUAGUUGGGGGCAUUAGUAUUCAAUUGUCAGAGGUGAAAUUCUUGGAUUUAUUGAAGACUAACUACUGCGAAGGCAUUUGCCAAGGAUGUUUUCAUUAAUCAAGAACGAAAGUUAGGGGAUCGAAGACGAUCAGAUACCGUCGUAGUCUUAACCAUAAACUAUGCCGACUAGGAAUCGGGCGAUGUUGACAAAAUGACGCGCUCGGCACCUCAUG